rnacentral:rRNA from 1 species
UACGGGGGGGGCAAGCGUUGUUCGGAAUUACUGGGCGUAAAGGGCGCGUAGGCGGCCUGCUAAGUCGAACGUGAAAUCCCCGAGCUCAACUCGGGAACUGCGUCCGAUACUGACAGGCUUGAAUCCGGGAGAGGGAUGCGGAAUUCCAGGUGUAGCGGUGAAAUUCGUAGAUAUCAGGAGGAACAUCAGCGGCGAAGGCGGCUUCCUGGCUCAUUACUGACGUUCAGGUACGAAAGCGUGGGUAGCAAACAGGG